rnacentral:rRNA from 1 species
GACGAACGCUGGCGGCGUGCCUAACACAUGCAAGUCGAGCGGGGACUUGGGUGCUUGCACCUGGGUUCUAGCGGCGGACGGGUGAGUAACGCGUGAGCAACCUGCCUCAAACUGGGGGAUAACGCAUCGAAAGAUGUGCUAAUACCGCGUAAGACCACGCUACCACAUGGUAGAGGGGUCAAAGGAGCAAUCCGGUUUGAGAUGGGCUCGCGUCCGAUUAGCUAGUUGGCGGGAUAACAGCCCACCAAGGCGACGAUCGGUAGCCGACCUGAGAGGGUGAUCGGCCACAUUGGAACUGAGAUACGGUCCAG